AACGAACGCUGGCGGCAGGCCUAACACAUGCAAGUCGAGCGAGGACUUCGGUCCUAGCGGCGGACGGGUGAGUAACGCGUGGGAACGUGCCCUUUGCUUCGGAAUAGCCCUGGGAAACUGGGAGUAAUACCGGAUGAGCCCUUUGGGGGAAAGAUUUAUCGGCGAAGGAUCGGCCCGCGUUGGAUUAGGUAGUUGGUGGGGUAAUGGCCUACCAAGCCGACGAUCCAUAGCUGGUUUGAGAGGAUGAUCAGCCACACUGGGACUGAGACACGGCCCAGACUCCUACGGGAGGCAGCAGUGGGGAAUCUUAGACAAUGGGGGAAACCCUGAUCUAGCCAUGCCGCGUGAGCGAUGAAGGCCUUAGGGUUGUAAAGCGCCUUCAGCUGGGAAGAUAAUGACGGUACCAGCAGAAGAAGCCCCGGCUAACUCCGUG
rnacentral:rRNA from 1 species